CAACAAUUUAGCUAAACAUCUUCCUUGGAAGUGAGCCAUUUCCCAUGUCUCUCUGUUCUCCAAACCGCGAUGAAAUUUCAACCUGCCCAACACGAUUACUGGUCCACCUAGAAAUGCCGUGGAGCGAUUUAAGAGCCUCGGAAAUUUCCUUUAAGGUCAGGAGAGAAGCUGGUAACAGAUGGGGCGAAGGAGGAAAAGUUCUUUUUGCGGCACCCUCACGCCUUCCCAGCCCUUUCGCGGUUUACUCGCUCCCCGGAAAGCAGGGCAUUCAAGCAGCCCUGAGGAGAGGUCCACAUGGUGAGCCACUGAGGGCCUUGCCAAGAGCCAGCACCAACGGUCCAGGUUUGGAGUGUACCACCUUGGAAGUGAAUCUUCCAGUCCAGUCAAGCCUUCAGAUGACUUCAGAACCGUCCAUGUAAGCCACUCUUGGAUUCCUGACCCACAGAAACUGUUGGAGUAAGUGAUGUUUCUGAAGCACCAAUGAAAAUGAAGUCCUGAAGUCCUGUGCUCAAUAUGAAAUGUUGGAAGUUAGAAGAAAAAAACAAAACUUGGAUCCAAUCUCAAGGCACUUUUUGUUUAAUGGGAAGAAGUGGAUUAUUUUAAAA
rnacentral:lncRNA from 10 species